rnacentral:rRNA from 1 species
GAUGAACGCUGGCGGCGUGCCUAACACAUGCAAGUCGAACGAAGCACCUUUUAAGAUUCUUCGGAUGAUUGAUUGGUGACUGAGUGGCGGACGGGUGAGUAACGCGUGGGUAACCUGCCCUGUACAGGGGGAUAACAGUUGGAAACGGCUGCUAAUACCGCAUAAGCGCACGAGAGGACAUCCUCUUGUGUGAAAAACUCCGGUGGUACAGGAUGGGCCCGCAUCUGAUUAGCUGGUUGGCAGGGUAACGGCCUACCAAGGCGACGAUCAGUAGCCGGUCUGAGAGGAUGAACGGCAACAUUGGAACUGAGACACGGUCCAAACUCCUACGGGAGGCAGCAGUGGGGAAUAUUGCACAAUGGGGGAAACCCUGAUGCAGCAACGCCGCGUGAGUGAAGGAGUAUUUCGGUAUGUAAAGCUCUAUCAGCAGGGAAGAUAAUGACGGUACCUGACUAAGAAGCUCCGGCUAAAUACGUGCCAGCCGCCGCCGUAA